rnacentral:tRNA from 1 species
GUCAAGUUAGUUUAAAUGAAAAUAUCAGCCUGUGGAUUUGAAGAUAAAACCAUAUUUUACUUGACC